UUUCAAACAUGAAAUUACACAGAAACAUAUGUCGAUGAUAUUUGUCAUUCCUACGAUCUAUUUCGCAUGAUCGUGCUUCUUUUCUAAUGCAAAUUCAAUUUAUAAUACGAACUAAGUUUCCUUUAUUGUUAUCAGUUCCGCGUCUUUCUAAAUCGCCACAGUUUUUCGCUCUUUGUUGCAAAACAUUGAAUCAUAGUGUGAACCAAGUUUCUUUUAUUAGAUUCAUUCAUCGUUAUCAGUCCUGCGUCUUUUCAAUUCGUCACUUUUUUAUUUCAGUACGAUGACUGGCUUCAAUAUACUGUUCGCAUGUUUGGCGUUAACCUUUUGAAUUCUGGAUACUCCCGGCGAAAGCAAUCCGCGUGGACGGCACGCGCUUAGCGGUUGCGAUGAUUGAAGACGGAAUUCUUUUUCUGCUAGUGUGAAUUAUGUUAAUUGAAUACGCAUGGCGGAACUAAGUUAUAAUUGUAAUUCCUGUACACCAAAUGAAAUAAUACUAGAAAGUUAUUUUCGAACAUUAAUUAUUCUACUAAAAACAUUAAAAUGUAAAACAUAUUUAAACUUGAAAUUGUGUUAAUGAAUCUAAAUAUUUGAGUCCAAUGAAUAUAACAAAAAUUAUGGAAAGUUCUUUGCGUAUAUUUUAAACAAAGAAAUAUUUAGUUUUAAAUCACAUGCGCAUUACAUCUACACUAGAUUCAUUUCACAAAAUAAAAACUUUUAUGUAUAUUGAUAAAAUUAAAAUUGUUCAAUUAUUUUUGUUGAGACAUGUAUAAUUUUCUGUGCUGGGCUGGGUUAAAUGCGUAGUAGAGAUACUUGUAUGCGGGUAUCGGUGUGUGGAGGUAUGUGUGUGCGCGACGUCUCGAAAACAGAUGAAUGUAAACUAUUCAGUCGGUUAUAGGUCGGGUAUAGGAGAAAGUGCCGAGACGCGCGCAAGUGUGUAUCCAUGAAUAUAUAAGAAAUCGUCCAUGAAAUAAGUAUAUAACUAUUCUAAUAUUAAUUCCAAGUGAAAAUUUAGUGUUCCUGUAACAUUAUUUCGGCUUCAAAGAUCCACAAUUCUCAACAAUUUUCUAAAAACUUUGAGCAAUUCAAAUCGACUAAAAUUAGAAGUUCAUUUGGGUGUGCAACCUCGGAUGUGCCCUUGCGUCCACCACAUUGUGGUUUCAGCAACGUUACGCAUACCAGGGUGGUUGGUGGUAGACCAGCUAAACUUGGUACGUUUUAUCUAUUCCUUUCCGAUUAAUAAUAAGCGAUAUACUAUGAAGGAUGAAAUUGAAAGGCACUAAUCAGCACAUCAAAGUGCUUGGCCAUGGAUCGCUGCAGUAGGAUUCCGUAAUUACUCAAACCCGCACUGGGUAACACAAUGGCUGUGUGCAGGUACCCUAAUAUCGGCUAGGCAUGUUUUGACCGCAGCACAUUGUGCAGAUAACGAUGAUUUGUACGUGAGUACAUACAUCCCAUUUGUCUCCCCAUAGAGAAAUCCCUUCGAAAUAAAAACUUCGUGGGCUAUAACCCCUUCAUUGCUGGAUGGGGAGCAUUAAACUUUAGUGAAUCAUAUACUAACGCAUUAAUGGAACUGC